rnacentral:rRNA from 1 species
CGGUGCAGGAUGAGCCCGCGGCCUAUCAGCUUGUUGGUGGGGUAAUGGCCUACCAAGGCGUCGACGGGUAGCCGGCCUGAGAGGGUGGACGGCCACAUUGGGACUGAGACACGGCCCAGACUCCUACGGGAGGCAGCAGUGGGGAAUAUUGCACAAUGGGCGCAAGCCUGAUGCAGCGACGCCGCGUGGGGGAUGAAGGCCUUCGGGUUGUAAACUCCUUUCAACCAUGACGAAGCGAGAGUGACGGUAGUGGUAGAAGAAGCACCGGCUAACUACGUGCCAGCAGCCGCGGUAAUACGUAGGGUGCGAGCGUUGUCCGGAAUUACUGGGCGUAAAGAGCUCGUAGGUGGUUUGUCACGUCGUCUGUGAAAUUCCGGGGCUUAACUCCGGGCGUGCAGGCGAUACGGGCAUAACUUGAGUACUGUAGGGGAGACUGGAAUUCCUGGUGUAGCGGUGAAAUGCGCAGAUAUCAGGAGGAACACCGAUGGCGAAGGCAGGUCUCUGGGCAGUUACUGACGCUGAGGAGCGAAAGCAUGGGUAGCGAACAGGAUUAGAUACCCUGGUAGUCCAUGCCGUAAACGGUGGGCGCUAGGUGUGGGGGUCUUCCACGACUUCCGUGCCGUAGCU